GAUUUUCCGCAGCUUGGGCUUGAAAUGCUGAUACCCGUAGAAUGUAUUCAGUGGUGUGGUCAUGAUGAAAACUCCAGGAUGUUGAUGCUGUGAAAUGUCCGAGGUUGGUGAACAAAAUGGGAUGAACAAAAUAGGAUGGAAUCCACCCUCAAAUUCACAGGUACAACUUUAAAUGAACCCGAAGACUCCCAUCCUCCUCUGAUGCCAAUUAAAUUCAUUUCUUUGACCAAACAAAGGGAGAAACAGGUCUUCUUCCAGACCACAGGGAAGGCAGCUAUCUACUUGUCUCCAAUUAUAUUAAGCAAGGUGUAACCAAAAACAAUGGAAGCCCCAUUUGCAUAUGAAUCAGCAGGGGGAUGGAAAGCCCACAGGAAGGGAAGAACAGCAUGAGGACAUCCUGCAUCUGAGGACAACGCCAUGAAUUUGGGAAGAUAUUAGGAGGAAGAAGAAGCCAUCUUGUCAUCCAUCAGAGGACACACGCAAGGGGCUAAAGCUCUUGCAAGCUAAGAAAGAUGGGCCCUCCAACCAAGGAGGCUGAAGUCUCUGGGGACUGAAUAUAAGUGAUAACCUCCUUAGGCAAAGAUCUUUCACCUAGGAAGACAAGGGAAGCCAGCAUCUUGAACUUCUGUGGAAAGUCCUGACUGAGACAAAGUCAGCAAUGGCUGGAAAGAAAAAGAUCGGUAAGAAUGUUACGUUGAACCAAGACAGUAGUUUUGUUCAGUCUUCGUCACUAGAAAGCGUUUUUCAUUCCUAUUACUUUAUAACCAUUUCUGACUUUUCAGCAAAAGGGGAGUUCAGCUAAUCAAGAGGGUAGCCUCUCACCCCAAUCCCCCCAGGCGCUCUCCCUUGCAAUCAAACAGCUGGACACGGAAUAGACUCUGCUGCUGUCGUGAUGCAUGCACAGUGACAGCAAAGCAACAGACUCCCUAGCACUUGGGCUCCUCCCAUGGCUGCUUAUCUCAGUGUGCGCACCCCAGCACUGGCCCCGGCAGCGUGCCCACGGAGGAGCCUGGAGUCUGUGCCGAAGAGGGACCUGGGCAACUUGUCACUGCA